CAGCAGCCACGGGAAUACAGAGGAUGCAAGCGUUAUCCGGAAUUACUGGGCGUAAAGCGCACGUAGGCGGCUUCGCAAGUCAGAGGUGGAAGCCUGGAGCUCAACUCCAGAAUUGCCUUUGAGACUGCGUCGCUCGAAUCCGGGAGAGGUGAGUGGAAUUCCGAGUGUAGAGGUGAAAUUCGUAGAUAUUCGGAAGAACACUAGUGGCGAAGGCGGCUCACUGGACCGGCAUUGACGCUGAGGUGCGAAAGCGUGGGGAGCAAACAGGAUUAGAUACCCGAGUAGUCCCUGUCUCUUAUAC
rnacentral:rRNA from 1 species